rnacentral:lncRNA from 1 species
CUCCUGCAGUCCACACUCCCCGAGUUCACUGAUCAGGAUAUUGUGAGAGGCUGUUGGAAGCUUUCCUCAGGUUUAGGUAGAAAACAUCCACUGCUCUCCACUCAUCCAAUUCAACUCAUUUAAAAUGUGAUAUUUAGUAGAGCACAGAGAUAACCCAAGACUAGAAUCUCCUGUGCUAGGCCCCAUUCACAUGAAGAACAGGAAAAGAUGUAUUUUUAAAGGUGUGAAGUGUCUUCUCCAGCAAAGCUUCCUUCAGAGGCAGAGUAACAGGAGAGAUGUUUGGCACUGCUAAAGAAGAGGUCAGAUGGCUUACGCUGUCUUUUCAGAUUUAGUAUGUUUUCUUUGCUGCAAGGCCAGUACAUGACCUUGCUGUUGUUUCAAGCAUGGGCUCUAUGGAAGAUGACAACUUCAGAUUACAUCUUGGAAGUCCAGAAGACAACUUCAUGGUCAUGAUUGUCACCACUUGUCAUCCCUUCCUUUGACAAAAAGGAUUCAGCUGAUUUUCUGCACAACAGCUAUUAUGCUUUCCCAACUUAGAGAGC